rnacentral:rRNA from 1 species
UGGGGAAUUUUGGACAAUGGGCGAAAGCCUGAUCCAGCAAUGCCGCGUGUGUGAAGAAGGCCUUCGGGUUGUAAAGCACUUUUGUCCGGAAAGAAAUCCUUGGCUCUAAUACAGUCGGGGGAUGACGGUACCGGAAGAAUAAGCACCGGCUAGCUACGUGCCAGCAGCCGCGGUAAUACGUAGGGUGCAAGCGUUAAUCGGAAUUACUGGGCGUAAAGCGUGCGCAGGCGGUUUGCUAAGACCGAUGUGAAAUCCCCGGGCUCAACCUGGGAACUGCAUUGGUGACUGGCAGGCUAGAGUAUGGCAGAGGGGGGUAGAAUUCCACGUGUAGCAGUGAAAUGCGUAGAGAUGUGGAGGAAUACCGAUGGCGAAGGCAGCCCCCUGGGCCAAUACUGACGCUCAUGCACGAAAGCGUGGGGAGCAAACAGGAUUAGAUACCCUGGUAGUCCACGCCCUAAACGAUGUCAACUAGUUGUUGGGGAUUCAUUUCCUUAGUAACGUAGCUAACGCGUGAAGUUGACCGCCUGGGGAGUACGGUCGCAAGAUUAAAACUCAAAGGAAUUGGCGGGGUCAU